rnacentral:rRNA from 1 species
UACGGAGGGUGCAAACGUUGCUCGGAAUCACUGGGCGUAAAGCGCACGUAGGCGGCUCGAAAAGUCGGAUGUGAAAGCCCUGGGCUCAACCUAGGAAGUGCAUUCGAAACUGCCGAGCUUGGGUACGGGAGAGGGUUGCGGAAUUCCCGGUGUAGAGGUGAAAUUCGUAGAUAUCGGGAGGAACACCAGUGGCGAAGGCGGCAGCCUGGACCGAUACUGACGCUGAGGUGCGAAAGCGUGGGGAGCAAACAGG